rnacentral:rRNA from 1 species
GCAAGCAGGAGAGUGGCGUAGGCAAAUCCGCGCCGGAUACUCAAAGGCUUGACUCAAGCGAACGCGCGAGCAAGUAGUGAAGAGGGCGAUACCAGGUCUCAAGAAAAGCUUCUAGCGAUAAUUUACUAGCGGCCCGUACCAAAACCGACACAGGUGGUUGAGGCGAGUAGCCUAAGGUGAGCGAGAGAACUGUUGCCAAGGAACUCGGCAAAUUGACCCCGUACGUUAGCAAUAAGGGGUGCUCGAAAGAGCCGCAGUGAAUAGGCCCUAGCAACUGUUUAACUAAAACAUAGCUCUCUGCGAAGUCGCAAGACGAAGUAUAGGGGGUGACACCUGCCCGGUGCUGGAAGGUCAAGGGGAUUUGUCAGACGCAAGUCGAAGCAUUGAACCGAAGCCCCAGUGAACGGCGGCCGUAACUAUAACGGUCCUAAGGUAGCGAAAUUCCUUGUCAGGUAAGUUCUGACCCGCACGAAAGGUGUAAUGAUUUGGGCACUGUCUCGGCAGCAGACUCGGUGAAAUCUUAGUACCUGUGAAGAUGCAGGUUACCCGCAACUAGACGGAAAGACCCCAUGGAGCUUUACUGUAGUCUGCUAUUGAGUUUCGGUUAAGUAUGCACAGGAUAGGUGGGAGACGAUGAGACUGGUCUUUUGGGAUCAGAGGAGUCACUGUUGGGAUACCACUCUUACUUAAUUGAAAUUCUAACUCUAAGCCGUGAUCCGGCUAGAG